rnacentral:rRNA from 1 species
UACAGAGGGUGCAAGCGUUGUUCGGGAUUAUUGGGCGUAAAGGGCGCGUAGGCGGUGCGGUAAGUCUGCAGUGAAAUCUCUGGGCUCAACUCAGAGUCUGCUGUGGAAACUGCCGUGCUUGAGUGUGGGAGAGGUGAGUGGAAUUCCCGGUGUAGCGGUGAAAUGCGUAGAUAUCGGGAAGAACACCCGUGGCGAAGGCGGCUCUCUGGGACGGUACUGACGCUGAGACGCGAAAGCGUGGGGAGCGAACAGG